AACGAACGCUGGCGGCAUGCCUAACACAUGCAAGUCGAACGAGACCUUCGGGUCUAGUGGCGCACGGGUGCGUAACGCGUGGGAACCUGCCCUUAGGUUCGGAAUAACUCCCCGAAAGGGGUGCUAAUACCGGAUAAUGUCUUCGGACCAAAGAUUUAUCGCCUUUGGAUGGGCCCGCGUUGGAUUAGCUAGUUGGUAGGGUAAAAGCCUACCAAGGCGACGAUCCAUGGCUGGUCUGAGAGGAUGAUCAGCCACACUGGGACUGAGACACGGCCCAGACUCCUACGGGAGGCAGCAGUGGGGAAUAUUGGACAAUGGGCGAAAGCCUGAGCCAGCAAUGCCGCGUGAGUGAUGAAGGCCUUAGGGUUGUAAAGCUCUUUUACCCGGGAUGAUAAUGACAGUACCGGGAGAAUAAGCUCCGGCUAACUCCGUG
rnacentral:rRNA from 1 species